rnacentral:rRNA from 1 species
AUUGAACGCUGGCGGCAUGCUUUACACAUGCAAGUCGAACGGCAGCGCGGGCUUCGGCCUGGCGGCGAGUGGCGAACGGGCGAGUAAUUCAUCGGUACGUGCCCAGCAGUGGGGGAUAGCUCGGCGAAAGCCGGAUUAAUACCGUAUACGAUCAGAGGGUGAAAGGGGGGGAUCUUCGGACCUCGCGCCAUUGGAGCGGCCGAUGGCAGAUUAGCCAGUUGGUGGGGUAAAGGCCUACCAAGGCGACGAUCUGUAGCUGGUCUGAGAGGAGGACCAGCCACACUGGGACUGAGACACGGCCCAGACUCCUACGGGAGGCAGCAGUGGGGAAUUUUGGACAAUGGGCGAAAGCCUGAUCCAGCAAUGCCGCGUGUGUGAUGAAGGCCUUCGGGUUGUAAAGCACUUUUGGCGGGAACGAAAAGGACUAUGCCAAUACCACGGUUCGAUGACGGUACCCGCAGAAUAAGCACCGGCUAACUACGUG